rnacentral:rRNA from 1 species
GUACGCUAUUCAGAGUUUGAUCCUGGCUCAGGACGAACGCUGGCGGUGUGCCUCAUACAUGCAAGUCGAACGAGAAUCUGGAGCUUGCUCCAGAGGAAAGUGGCGGACGGGUGAGUACAACAUAGGAAAUCUGCCUUUAGGUGGGGGACAACAGAGGGAAACUUCUGCUAAUACCCCAUAUGAGCGUAGCUGAAAUGCUAUUCUUGAAAGUUCCGGCGCCUAAAGAUGAGCCUGUGCCUGAUUAGCUAGUUGGUGGUGUAAUGGACUACCAAGGCGACGAUCAGUAGCUGGUUUGAGAGGAUGAUCAGCCACAAUGGGACUGAGACACGGCCCAU